CCAAGCUGGACGGACAGCAAAGAAACACAAAACCAAUCAGUUCUUGGCGCCAUCACUCCCUGAUCCAAGAACGGUUUGUUGCUUGAUAACAACGCCAAAGAACUGAAGGAACAAUCAGGUAUGGUAUAUUCAGGUCUGUCUUUUUCAGAGGAGGAGGAGGAGGAGAGAGCGUGCCUUCCGACGUGCAGCUGUUCGUGGAGAAUGGCGGCGGAGAGCGCGGUGGUGAGCACGGUGCAGAGCGGGGUGAACAUGGCGGAGUAGAGAGGGCCCCUCACCGAGAUGCACCACGACUGCAGGUAGAACACCGCACCAGACCCAAACACGCCCUGCACUCACGACGAGUCUGUUUGUUAGCCAACAAGUUCGGUCUCAUCUUCCGAUUGCAUAGUAGUUCCUGAAACGGAGUGGCACUGACCGCGAAGGCGUAGCAGGAGAGCUCGAAGAGCGAGUGGAUCCUCCACGCGCUACGGUCCGGCAGCAGGAAGAAAGCGACCACGGCGGAU
rnacentral:lncRNA from 1 species